rnacentral:rRNA from 1 species
GACGAAGGAUGCAAGCGUUAUCCGGAUUCAUUGGGUUUAAAGGGAGCGUAGGGGGCCUUAUAAGUCAGUGGUGAAAUCUCUCGGCUUAACUGAGAAAUUGCCAUUGAUACUGUAGGGCUUGAGUACAGUUGCUGUGGGCGGAAUAUGACAUGUAGUGGUGAAAUACAUAGAGAUGUCAUAGAACACCGAUUGCGAAGGCAGCUCACAAAACUGUAACUGACACUGAGGCUCGAAAGUGCGGGGAUCAAACAGG